rnacentral:rRNA from 1 species
UACGAAGGGGGCUAGCGUUGCUCGGAAUCACUGGGCGUAAAGCGCACGUAGGCGGCUUGUUAAGUCAGGGGUGAAAUCCUGGAGCUCAACUCCAGAACUGCCUUUGAUACUGGCGAGCUUGAGUCCGGGAGAGGUGAGUGGAACUGCGAGUGUAGAGGUGAAAUUCGUAGAUAUUCGCAAGAACACCAGUGGCGAAGGCGGCUUCCUGGCCUGUUCUUGACGCUGAGGCGCGAAAGCUAGGGGAGCAAACGGG